UACGGAGGGGGCUAGCGUUGUUCGGAAUUACUGGGCGUAAAGCGCACGUAGGCGGCUUUGUAAGUUAGAGGUGAAAGCCCAGGGCUUAACCCUGGAAUUGCCUUUAAGACUGCAUCGCUAGAAUCGUGGAGAGGUGAGUGGAAUUCCGAGUGUAGAGGUGAAAUUCGUAGAUAUUGGGAAGAACACCGGUGGCGAAGGCGGCUAUCUGGACCGACAUUGACGCUGAGGCGCGAAAGCGUGGGGAGCAAACAGG
rnacentral:rRNA from 1 species